UACGUAGGGGGCAAGCGUUGUCCGGAUUUAUUGGGCGUAAAGAGCUCGUAGGCGGUUUCGUAAGUCGAGUGUGAAAAAUCUGGGCUCAACCCAGUGGAGCACUCGAUACUGCGAUGACUGGAGUACGGUAGAGGAGUGUGGAAUUCCUGGUGUAGCGGUGAAAUGCGCAGAUAUCAGGAGGAACACCAACGGCGAAGGCAGCACUCUGGGCCGGUACUGACGCUGAGGAGCGAAAGCGUGGGGAGCAAACAGG
rnacentral:rRNA from 1 species